CAGUCGCCGCGGUAAUACGAAGGGGGCUAGCGUUGCUCGGAAUCACUGGGCGUAAAGGGUGCGUAGGCGGGUCUUUAAGUCAGAGGUGAAAUCCUGGAGCUCAACUCCAGAACUGCCUUUGAUACUGAGGAUCUUGAGUUCGGGAGAGGUGAGUGGAACUGCGAGUGUGGAGGUGAAAUUCGUAGAUAUUCGCAAGAACACCAGUGGCGAAGGGGGCUCACUGGCCCGAUACUGACGCUGAGGCACGAAAGCGUGGGGAGCAAACAGGAUUAGAGACCCCGGUAGUCCCUGUCUCUUAUAC
rnacentral:rRNA from 1 species